rnacentral:rRNA from 1 species
GACGAACGCUGGCGGCGUGCCUAAUACAUGCAAGUAGAACGCACAGUUUAUACCGUAGCUUGCUACACCAUAGACUGUGAGUUGCGAACGGGUGAGUAACGCGUAGGUAACCUGCCUGGUAGCGGGGGAUAACUAUUGGAAACGAUAGCUAAUGCCGCAUAAUAUUAAUUAUUGCAUGAUAAUUAAUUGAAAGGUGCAAUUGCACCACUACCAGAUGGACCUGCGUUGUAUUAGCUAGUAGGUGAGGUAACGGCUCACCUAGGCGACGAUACAUAGCCGACCUGAGAGGGUGAUCGGCCACACUGGGACUGAGACACGGCCCAGACUCCUACGGGAGGCAGCAGUAGGGAAUCUUCGGCAAUAGACGAAAGUCUGACCGAGCAACGCCGCGUGAGUGAAGAAGGUUUUCGGAUCGUAAAGCUCUGUUGUAAGAGAAGAACGGGUGUGAGAGUGGAAAGUUCACACUGUGACGGUAUCUUACCAGAAAGGGACGGCUAACUACGUG